CCUACGGGGGGCAGCAGUGGGGGAUAUUGCACCAUGGGGGAAACCCUGAUGCAGCGACGCCGCGUGUGGGAAGACGGUCUUCUGGAUUGUAAACCACUGUCCCCAGGGACGAAAAUGACGGUACCUGGGGAGGAAGCUCCGGCUAAAUACGUGCCAGCAGCCGCGGUAAUACGUAGGGAGCAAGCGUUGUCCGGAAUUACUGGGUGUAAAGGGAGCGUAGGCGGGGAUGCAAGUUGGGUGUCAAAACUACCGGCUCAACCGAUAGUCGCACUCAAAACUGCAGCUGUUGAGUGAAGUAGAGGCAGGCGGAAGUCCUAGUGUAGCGGUGAAAUGCGUAGAUAUUAGGAGGAACACCAGUGGCGAAGGCGGCCUGCUGGGCUUUUACUGACGCUGAGGCUCGAAAGUGUGGGGAGCAAACAGGAUUAGAUACCCUUGUAGUC
rnacentral:rRNA from 1 species